GGAAGGAUCAUUAUUGAAUGAAAUUGGUGUGGUUGUUGCUGGCCCUCCUGGGCAUGUGCACGCCUGCCAUCCUCAUCUCUUCACCUGUGCACCUUUUGUAGGCUUGGAUAGACAUUUUUCCGAGGCAACUCGGUCGGGAGGAAUGCUGCGCGCAAGCCGGCUUUCCUUGCGUUUUUCCAGGUCUAUGUUUUUUUCAUAUACCCAGUAGUAUGUAACAGAAUGUAUCAUUGGGCGCUUGCGCCUAUAAAGUUUAUACAACUUUCAGCAACGGAUCUCUUGGCUCUCGCAUCGAUGAAGAACGCAGCGAAAUGCGAUAAGUAAUGUGAAUUGCAGAAUUCAGUGAAUCAUCGAAUCUUUGAACGCACCUUGCGCUCCUUGGUAUUCCGAGGAGCAUGCCUGUUUGAGUGUCAUUAAAUUUCUCAACCUUUAUUAGCUUUUGCUGAUGAAUGGCUUGGAUGUGGGGGUUCUUUUGCUGGCUCAGGUCGGCUCCCCUUAAAUGCAUUAGCUGGUGUACCCUGUGGUGGACUUGGUGUGAUAAUUAUCUACGCCAUGUAUUGUCUGCAACGCACUGCUUCUAACCGUCUGUUCAUUCGGACAAUUAAAUGACAAUUUGACCUCAAAUCAGGUAGGACUACCCGCUGAACUUAAGCAUAUCAAUAAGCGGAGGAAAAGAAACUAACAAGGAUUCCCCUAGUAACUGCGAGUGAAGCGGGAAAAGCUCAAAUUUAAAAUCUGGCGGUCUUUGGCCGUCCGAGUUGUAAUCUAGAGAAGUGUUAUCCGCGCUGGACCGUGUACAAGUCUCCUGGAAUGGAGCGUCAUAGAGGGUGAGAAUCCCGUCUUUGACACGGACUGCCAGGGCUUUGUGAUGCGCUCUCAAAGAGUCGAGUUGUUUGGGAAUGCAGCUCAAAAUGGGUGGUAAAUUCCAUCUAAAGCUAAAUAUUGGCGAGAGACC
rnacentral:rRNA from 1 species